rnacentral:rRNA from 1 species
UACAGAGGUGGCAAGCGUUGUUCGGAAUUACUGGGCGUAAAGGGCUCGUAGGUGGCCAACUAAGUCAGACGUGAAAUCCCCAGGCUCAACCUGGGAACUGCGUCUGAUACUGGAUGGCUUGAAUCCGGGAGAGGGAUGCAGAAUUCCAGGUGUAGCGGUGAAAUGCGUAGAUAUCUGGAGGAAUACCGGUGGCGAAGGCGGCAUCCUGGACCGGGAUUGACACUGAGGAGCGAAAGCUAGGGGAGCAAACGGG